CAGCGGUGUCAUUGAUGAGCUUUUGUUUUCAUCUAGUCUGGAAGAGGAUUUGAGGCCACUUUCGAAGUACUUCCUAGACUAGAUGAAAUCAAAUUUGGCAGCGGUGUCAUUGAUGAGCUUUUGUUUUUGGACUUGCCACGUGAAUUUAGAUUUCCUUCUGGAAUAAUGAUGCUAGAGUAUGGAAAAGCAGUUCAAGAGAGUGUAUACGAGCAACUUCGUGUUGUUCGUGAGGGUCAGCUUCGUAUCAUAUUCACCCAUGACUUGAAGAUUUUGUCUUGGGAAUUUUGUGCUCG
rnacentral:misc_RNA from 1 species